ACUGCUCAGUAACACGUAGCUAAUCUGCCCUAAAGUCUAGGAUAACCUCGGGAAACUGAGGGUAAACCCGGAUAGAAGAUUUUUUCUGGAAUGAUUAAUCUUUGAAAUUUCACUUUAGGAUGAGGCUGCGGCUGAUUAGGUAGUUGGCGGGGUAAAUGCCCACCAAGCCAAUGAUCAGUAAGGGCCUUUAGCGAGGAAACCCUGAGAGGGAGUCUGAGAUACUACUCCCAGCCCUACGGGGUGCAGCAGUCGGGAAACUUUUGCAAUGCGCGCAAGCGUGACAGAGCAAGCCAAAGUGUUUUCUAUUUAUAGAAAACUUUUGUGAGAUGCAAAAAGUCUCACGAAUAAGGACUGGGCAAGACCGGUGCCAGCCGCCGCGGUAAUCCCGGCAGUCCAAGUCGCAGCCACAUUUAUUGGGUCUAAAACAUCCGUAGCUUGCCAUCUAAGUCUUUUGUUAAAUCGGGACUCUUAAGGUUCCGGCAGCAAGAGAUACUAUAUGGCUAGAGACCGGGGGGCGUAAGGAGUACAGAUAGGGUAACGGUUAAAUGUGUUGAUCCUUUCUGGACUAACAAUCGCGAAGGCACCUUACGAUAACGGAUCUGACAGUGAGGGAUGAAGGCUAGGGGCGCAAAUUGGAUUAGAUACCCAAGUAGUCCUAGCAGUAAACACUGCACACUAAACAUUGGGGCCUCUUCGAGAGGUUUCAGUGCUGUAGAGAAGUCGGAGAGUGUGCUACCUGGGAAGUAUAGCCGCAAGGCCGAAACUUAAAGGAAUUGGCGGGGGAG
rnacentral:rRNA from 1 species